rnacentral:rRNA from 1 species
UACGUAGGGGGCAAGCGUUGUCCGGAAUUAUUGGGCGUAAAGCGCGCGCAGGCGGUCUUUUAAGUCAGGUGUUUAAGCCCGGGGCUCAACCCCGGUUCGCACCUGAAACUGGGAGGCUUGAGUGCAGGAGAGGAAAGUGGAAUUCCACGUGUAGCGGUGAAAUGCGUAGAUAUGUGGAGGAACACCAGUGGCGAAGGCGACUUUCUGGCCUGUAACUGACGCUGAGGCGCGAAAGCGUGGGGAGCAAACAGG